GGCUAACUCCGUGCCAGCAGCCGCGGUAAUACGGAGGAUGCGAGCGUUAUCCGGAUUUAUUGGGUUUAAAGGGUGCGUAGGCGGCCUGUUAAGUCAGCGGUGAAAUCUAGGAGCUUAACUCCUAAAUUGCCAUUGAUACUGGCGGGCUUGAGUGUAGAUGAGGUAGGCGGAAUGCGUGGUGUAGCGGUGGAAUGCAUAGAUAUCACGCAGAACUCCGAUUGCGAAGGCAGCUUACUAAGGUACAACUGACGCUGAAGCACGAAAGCGUGGGUAUCAAACAGGAUUAGAUACCCUGGUAGUCCACGCAGUAAACGAUGAUAACUGGGCGUAUGCGAUAUACAGUAUGCUCCUAAGCGAAAGCGUUAAGUUAUCCACCUGGGGAGUACGCCGGCAACGGUGAAACUCAAAGGAAUUGACGGGGGCCCGCACAAGCGGAGGAACAUGUGGUUUAAUUCGAUGAUACGCGAGGAACCUUACCCGGGAUUGAAAUGUAGAUGACCGCUCCUGAAAGGGAGUUUUCCUUCGGGACAUCUAUGUAGGUGCUGCAUGGUUGUCGUCAGCUCGUGCCGUGAGGUGUCGGCUUAAGUGCCAUAACGAGCGCAACCCCUGUCUACGGUUGCCAUCAGGUAAUGCUGGGAACUCCGUAGAGACUGCCGUCGUAAGGCGUGAGGAAGGUGGGGAUGACGUCAAAUCAGCACGGCCCUUACAUCCGGGGCGACACACGUGUUACAAUGGUAAGGACAAAGGGCAGCUACCUGGCGACAGGAUGCGAAUCUCUAAACCUUAUCACAGUUCGGAUCGGAGUCUGCAACUCGACUCCGUGAAGCUGGAUUCGCUAGUAAUCGCGCAUCAGCCAUGGCGCGGUGAAUACGUUCCCGGGCCUUGUA
rnacentral:rRNA from 1 species